AUGGAUAUGGACUUUGGAGAUGCACAGAAAGAAUCCAUUGAGGGUUCAUAUGCGAUGUUGCUGCAAGGGGACAAAAAUUCACAACAUAAAAAUGUCGAAGAGGUUAUAUCUCAUAACAAACCAAAAAAGGAUGCUAAUUUACAUGUUAUCUCACAAGACUAUGUUUGUACCCCUAGGGAUAUUACAGUCAUCGAAUCAAUCAAGUCUGCCCCCAAGAAUACCCAGUUCGUGGACAUUGGAGAUGCCUUGUUAUCAACCGACGAUUUGGAAUGCCUUAUGAAAGAUGAUAUGUUCUUACAUGAUGGUGUGAUAAAUGCUUACAUAUAUUGCAUGCUUGCUCACGACCAUCUACAAGACAGAGCGGGUGAAAAGAUACACAUUGUUAGCAUGUUUGUAUCUGGCCAGAUAAAAGAAGACGGGGAAAGAGAUAUAGACCCAUCAAAAUAUCACCACAUCGUGCAUCAUGUUAAUACUUAUCUACAACAAGACAUGUUAUUCAUUCCGAUUAACAUAUCGGGCUACCAUUGGUAUCUAGCAGUCUUCAAUGCCAAAAAACGUGAGAUUCAACGUUUCAUGUCGACUGUUUAUGCUAAAUUAUAUGGAAUACUGGACAUCACAUGCAUUGUCAGACCAAUUCACCCAGAGCUGAAUAAGCUAAAAGGAGGUCCCAUAUACCAUCAACCUGACGAUCAAGAAACUUUAGCUAAUUCUGAUCUCAAUAUAUUGGACAAUCCAUCUGACGUAGUCAAAGACAAACGUCCUACACCAAUCAGUAUCAUACCCACGGACCAACGUGAAUUACUUGCCGACCUCUGCAACUACAUCAUGUCGAUCGAUGAUGCCGGUUGUUUGGAGAAGGUAUGGGUCCGGAGCUCGACACUCGAUCCAAUGGGCUUAAGUCUUAAGAAACUUCAGUGCAUACUUAACAUAGAGCAGCCCAUGGACAAUGAUUGCUUCAACACAGCUGUGCGUAUGCUGGCAUGUGACGAGGGAGUAUUGUUCACAUACCCUCCUGUGCACUACAUGGAUCUACGAUUUUGUUCCAUGAUGCUAGAGUCAACACGAGAUCAGAAGUUUUGCGAGAAGGAAACUAUCCAGACGUUGGCAACAUUAUUUGAUAGCUGGCCUGGGAUGGACAACGACAUCUCAUCGUGCAACAAGAUUUAUCUUCCCUAUGCAUCCAUCGGCCGAUACAUCUUGAAUGUGUCUGGCUAUUUUGUUUUUCAUUUUAUGCUCGGGUGGAACGGCAAAGAAUUGGUCAAGCCGAUUUGCACGAUGAGUAUUGAUGGGUAUUAA
rnacentral:rRNA from 1 species